rnacentral:rRNA from 1 species
UGAAUACGAGACGCUAAGGCGUCGAAGUAGUGUAUGUCAUACUUCCAAGAAAAGCUUGCACUGUCAUAGAUAAAAAACGCCUGUACCAUAACCGACACAGGUGGGUAGGUAGAGUAUACUAAGGGGCGCGAGAUAACUCUCUCUAAGGAACUCGGCAAAAUAACUCCGUAACUUCGGGAGAAGGAGUGCCUUAUUCGUAAGGUUGCAAUAACAAGAUCCAAGCAACUGUUUAUCAAAAACACAGGUCUCCGCUAAGUCGUAAGACGACGUAUGGGGGCUGACGCCUGCCCAGUGCCAGAAGGUUAAAGAAGUUGGUUAGCAAUUGCGAAGCUGAUAACUGAAGCCCUGGUGAACGGCGGCCGUAACUAUAACGGUCCUAAGGUAGCGAAAUUCCUUGUCGGGUAAGUUCCGACCCGCACGAAAGGCGUAAUGAUUUGGAUACUGUCUCGGAGAGGGGCUCGGUGAAAUAGACUUGUCUGUGAAGAUGCGGACUACCUGCACCAGGACAGAAAGACCCUAUGAAGCUUUACUGUAACUUGAAAUUGAAAUUGGACUUUAUUCGCGCAGUAUAGGUGGGAGGCGUUGAUUAUAAUCUCGUGGGAUUAUUGGAGCCAUCAGUGAGAUACCACUCUUGUAAUGUUAGAUUUCUAACUUUGAAUCAUUAUCUGGUCAAAGAACAGUUUCAGGCGGGCAGUUUGACUGGGGCGGUCGCCUCCUAAACGGUAACGGAGGCGUACAAAGGUUUCCUCUGAACGGUUAGAAAUCGUAUCUAGAGUGUAAAGGCAUAAGGAAGCUUGACUGUGAGACCUACAAGUCGAGCAGGGACGAAAGUCGGUCUUAGUGAUCUGACGGUACUGAGUGGAAAGGCCGUCACUCAACGGAUAAAAGUUACUCUAGGAUAACAGGCUGAUCUCCCCCAAGAGUUCACAUCGACGGGGAGGUUUGGCACCUCGAUGUCGGCUCAUCGCAUCCUGGGGCGGUAGUACGUCCCAAGGGUUGGGCUGUUCGCCCAUGAAAGCGGUACGCGAGCUGGGUUCAGAACGUCGUGAGACAGUUCGGUCCAUAUCCGGUGUAGGCGUUAGAAUAUUGAGAGGAGCCUUCUUUAGUACGAGAGGACCGAGAAGGACAUACCUCUGGUGUACCAGUUAUCGUGCCAACGGUAAACGCUGGGUAGCUAUGUAUGGAGUGGAUAACCGCUGAAAGCAUCUAAGUGGGAAGCCCACCUCAAGAUAAGUAUUCUC